rnacentral:tRNA from 1 species
CCCGGUUGGUGAAACCGGAAGACACACCUCGCUCAGAACGAGGAAGCUGGGGGUUCGAGUCCCUCACCGGGCA